GUGGUUCUGAUGGCGGCGCUGCUGGAGGAACGCGCUGUGAGGCCGCAGGUUGCUCCCGUUCAGCCAUACGGGUUCUGAAGUGUUUAAUCCCUUGCGUGGGAAGCGGAGAUGAGAGCUGUUCUCUGGCAGGCGGAUGCAGCCUUUGGCAGUUCGUAUCUGGGAGGUGAAGAUGGCGUGAGAUUGAAAUGGGGAAUAAAGCAGAGAUUCAGCCUGUAUGAGCGCUGUAUGAAACGUGCAGCGCCUCAGACUAAAGCCGGGCAGUGAUAUCCACAUUGCUGCUGCAAGGCUGGGGAGGAGGAGGUGCUGCUGUCGGAUGAGUUCACUGCUCUGAGCUGUUUGCAAAGACCAAAAAACAUUGGGACUGAUUUAUUUUUCCUUCUUCCCAGGCUCUAAGUGAGUGCGUAAAAAAAUAAAUAGUUGAGGGAGGCAGAGUUUGGAAUGUCAGUGAAGUAUUUAUUGCUUAUGCCAACAGGUUUUUCUAGUAUCUGGGAAUUAAAACAUGAAUCCAGGUAGUUAAUGGAAGGAAUUGGCAUGUGCGUGUCUUCCCGGCAGCUCAUUUUGCAGUGAAUUGAUGUGAUUGCUCCGAACCAGGUAGAUGUUGCUUCUCAUGUCUGGUUUCAGUCUGCAGCGGUUGAAGCUGUGGUUAUUUAAGCUGCUGAUGUUCAAUCUGCUUUUUCCAGUAAGUGGUGAGGAGGAAGACGAUGCAUUUUUUGUUGGUAAAAGGGUGUUUCUCUAAAGCCUGCAUUUCGUAAGUAGGUUUUGUGGGUAACAACAAUUUGGGAUCUUCUCAUGUAAGGAUCUGGCAAAGGAAGAAAAACUAUCAUGAGGAAUACUAAGCACCCCUCUUCCGUGCGAGCUCCACCAGUGCUCGUGCUUUGUUUUUCAAAUCGGUAAUUAGUGGAGUGACAUCUCCUGGCUGAACUGAACUAAAGGUAGCAGUGACAUAAAAAGCCUUCUGCCCUAAUUCUGUUUGAAUGGUUUUCAGUUUAGGAGAGGCCAAAAGGUGUUACCACCUGAUGGCUGUUCAAUGGCUCGUGGGAAAUGGCUCUUAAGGGUCCCAGUUUAAUUUCCUAACCUCCCAACUGUAGCACAUUUCUCACAGCACUGUUACACUCCAGGAAGGUCUAAGUGGAUAAUUUGUAAUGAAUAAUGUGCUCUCCUUCUGCCUUUUCCUACUCAGAAGUUUUAACAAAUGAAGUGAUUUUCAUUUCUCCCCUCGUUAUUUACUGUUAACUCCUGCAAGUUAAGUGUUCUUGAGCAGUUUGUUCUGUAUGUGCAGUAUCUGGAGAGUUUCUUGCCUGCCAGCAGGACUAAGCUCUCCAACCUCAGCGGGAGGCAGCAGAGGGGGAAGGUGACAGACUCCUUCACUGUGAGGAGGGAGUAGAGUAUAGCAAUUGUACCUCAGUAAUUUGCUUAAUGGGGUAGGAAGCAUAAGAUUAAAUCAUUUCUUCAUGAAAAGGCACCUUAAGAGUUCAUUUCCAGGGCUGCAGGGAUAUUUAGGUUGGUGGUUUUUUUUUAAGUGGAAGGAAGUCUUCAAACACAGUCACUGUUGCCUAGAUGCCCACAACCUGAGCUGACUGUGAAGUGCAGGCUGGCCCCAUGCAUCCUCUCAGUGCUGACAGCACCGGCUUCCCUUCCCAACGGCUGCAGCAGGACAGCAAGGCUGAGCCCACCCAGCUUCCCUGGGCACAGAUUUGGCUAUCUCCUUGCCACACAGUAGCUCAUUUUCACUUCGAAAUUUGCUUGCACUGAGGCCUGCUACCCCUUGCUCAAAGUUUGAGUGGCACUGGCUGGUAAUACCUGUGGAAGGGAUACUGAGAGUCAGGCAAAACAUAGCGCUGACUUCUCCUUUCUGUUCUCAGGUAGCUGGGCUGAGAGUGUUCCUGACUGGCGAUCCGCUGGCACGGAGGCUGCAGAUACGCAUUUGCUUUUGCUCCAUCUGCUGCCGAUCCGGUCACGGCACGAGCACUUGGGAAAGAAGCAGAAUCAGUUAGAGUAGGAGAUGGUGGGGAAUACCAGCUUCUCAAUGCUAGGAAAAGACUGUGGUCAGGCCAUGGUGGCUGAGGAAGAGCUGAGACCACAGAAAAGGCUCGCCGUACCCCUGGCAGCUGUGACAGCUCUCCUGCUCGUGGGCUCUCACCUUGCAGGAAGACAUCCAGGUUUUGCAUGCGGCCGGCUGCCCAGGCGCUUCCCACGUGGCAUCUGUAGUCCCUGAGGUCUGCAGGGAGCAAAGUGAGGGAUGAGUGCCUUCAAGCUGCGACGCAGUUAGGAAGCAAGCUGUGCCAGCGUGCAUGGCCUCAGCACCCCCCUCACCUGGAAUGAUCCCUCUGGUGUGUGCGUGGUGAUGUUAUCAGAGCCUGGGGAAGAGCCAUGGAACCCUGCUUUGGCCUCAUGGAAGGUAAGAACUUUUUGCCUGUAUUUUUUUGGAAAAUGGUUUAUUUGCAUUAUUAAGGGUGUGAUUGCUUUUUUGAGAAUUUGAGGAGGGGUUCCACAUGUGAACAGUGCAUGCAUUUAUAAGCCAUGCAAAGUAAGGUGCUGGGUCCCAGGUCUGAACGUAGUGGGA